GGCUGCGGCUCAGUGGUUGAGCAUCUGCUUUGCAUGCAGAAAGUCUCGGGUUCGAUCCCCAAUUAUCCCAGUCA
rnacentral:tRNA from 1 species